rnacentral:rRNA from 1 species
GAUUUAGCCAUGCUAGUUGCACGAGUUUAGACUCGUAGCAUAUAGCUCAGUAACACGUGGCCAAACUACCCUACAGACCGCGAUAACCUCGGGAAACUGAGGCCAAUAGCGGAUAUAACUCUCAGACUGGAGUGUCGAGAGUUAGAAACGUUCCGGCGCUGUAGGAUGUGGCUGCGGCCGAUUAGGUAGAUGGUGGGGUAACGGCCCACCAUGCCGAUAAUCGGUACAGGUUGUGAGAGCAAGAGCCUGGAGACGGUAUCUGAGACAAGAUACCGGGCCCUACGGGGCGCAGCAGGCGCGAAACCUUUACACUGCACGACAGUGCGAUAGGGGGACUCCGAGUGUGAGGGCAUAUAGCCCUCGCUUUUCUGUACCGUAAGGUGGUACAGGAACAAGGACUGGGCAAGACCGGUGCCAGCCGCCGCGGUAAUACCGGCAGUCCGAGUGAUGGCCGAUAUUAUUGGGCCUAAAGCGUCCGUAGCUUGCUGUGUAAGUCCAUUGGGAAAUCGACCAGCUCAACUGGUCGGCGUCCGGUGGAAACUACACAGCUUGGGGCCGAGAGACUCAACGGGUACGUCCGGGGUAGGAGUGAAAUCCUGUAAUCCUGGACGGACCACCAAUGGGGAAACCACGUUGAGAGACCGGACCCGACAGUGAGGGACGAAAGCCAGGGUCUCGAACCGGAUUAGAUACCCGGGUAGUCCUGGCUGUAAACAAUGCUCGCUAGGUAUGUCACGCGCCAUGAGCACGUGA